AGACCGAGCGACGCCGCGUGGGUGAUGAAGUUUUCGGAACGUAAAACCCUGUCAGGUGGGAGGAAUACCUUCGGUUAACACCCGAGUGGCUUGACAGUACCACCAGAGGAAGCUCCGGCUAACUCCGUGCCAGCAGCCGCGGUAACACGGGGGGAGCAAGCGUUGUUCGGAUUCAUUGGGCGUAAAGAGCUCGUAGGUGGCUCUGUAAGUCGGAGGUGAAAGACCACGGCUCAACCGUGGAAACGCCUUCGAAACUGUGGAGCUUGAGGCUGGGAGAGGAAAUCGGAAUUCCUGGUGUAGCGGUGAAAUGCGUAGAUAUCAGGAGGAACACCGGUGGCGAAGGCGGAUUUCUGGACCAGUUCUGACACUGAGGAGCGAAAGCCAGGGGAGCAAACAGGAUUAGAUACCCUGGUAGUCCUGGCUGUAAACGAUGGGCACUAAGUAGAGGGGUUU
rnacentral:rRNA from 1 species